rnacentral:rRNA from 1 species
GACGAACGCUGGCGGCGUGCCUAAUACUUGCAAGUUGAGCGCUUAAGGUUGGUACUUGUUCCAACUGGAUGAGCAGCGAACGGGUGAGUAACGCGUGGGGAAUCUGCCUUUGAGCGUGGGACAACAUCUGGAAACGAAUGCUAAUACCGCAUAAAAACUUUAACCACAAGUUUUAAGUUUGAAAGAUGCAAUUGCAUCACUCAAUGAUGAUCUCGCGUUGGAUUAGCUAGUUGGUUAGGUAAAGGCUCACCAAGGCGAUGAUACAUAGCCGACCUGAGAGGGUGGACGGGCACAUUGGGACUGAGACACGGCCCAAACCCCUAACGGAGGGAGGAGGAGGGAAACUUCGGGAAAGGACGAAAGUCUGGCCGAGCAAAGGCGGGGGAGUGAAGGAGGUUCUCGGAUCGGAAAAAUCUGUUGGUAGAGAAGAAAGUUGGUGAGAGGGGAAAGCGCAUGAAGUGACGGUAACUAACCAGAAAGGGACGGCUAACUACGUG